rnacentral:rRNA from 1 species
UUCAACCGUGGUACGUGGCCGUUGGCAAAAGACUGAAGUUAAGCAACGUCGGGCCGGUUAGUACUUGGAUGGGUGACCGCCUGGGAACCCCGGGUGCUGUUGGUA